GAAAUAACAGGGGAAAUGGCAGAAGACUGAUGGCACAGCGACAUGCAGCAGCUCAAAGAAAACAUUGUCACCACAAAGCUUAAACUGUGGAAGACAAAUGCCUUCCUGGGCUAAAAGGUCGGAAGCUCUGCGAUGUCACGUCUGAUGUGCAGCUACAUCUACGAGAAAAUACCACCCCGAAAUAAACCCGAAGGAUUGAAGAAAACAAAACAGAUAUGGUGUCUAGACAAUAGGACAAAGGAUCUCUUUACCGUUCAACAUACCUGAGACAGCCGUAGACAAGCGAAGCAGGGACAUUCAGGGCCUCGUCAGUCAGACUACGGCUGACGGCGUGAACAGAGUCAGCAGGACCAUGAGGUGGCAACGGGGUCAUGUUUAUCAUACCCGAAAUCACGGAUCGACUAAUGAAGCAUUAAAUCCCAGAGCAACACGGACACCUCCAGUAAACACCUCAGCCGCCGCAGAGAGGUCACUCUGCACCGCAGAGAACAACAAAUAAACAUCUAGGAACAAUGA